GAUGAACGCUGGCGGCAGGCCUAACACAUGCAAGUCGAGCGGAAGGGGGGUGCUUGCUUCUGGUGCUAGCGGGGGGCGGGGGUGGAAAGCCUAGGAAUCUGCUCGGCUGUGGGGGGUAAUGGCUGGAAACGGGUGGGAAUACUGCAUACGUGCCGCGGGGGAAAGUGGGGGGUGGUUGGAACUUAUGGCAGGAGAGGGGGGUAGGUCGGAUUAGCUAGUUGGUGGGGUAAAGGGCUACCUAGGCGACGAUCCGUAACUGGUCUGAGAGGAUGAUCAGUCACACUGGAACUGAGACACGGUCCAGACUCCUACGGGAGGCAGCAGUGGGGAAUAUUGGACAAUGGGCGAAAGCCUGAUCCAGCCAUGCCGCGUGUGUGAAGAAGGUCUUCGGAUUGUAAAGCACUUUAAGUUGGGAGGAAGGGCAGUAAGUUAAUACCUUGCUGUUUUGACGUUACCAACAGAAUAAGCACCGGCUAACUUCGUG
rnacentral:rRNA from 1 species